AAGACCUUGCGCUUUUGGAGCGGCCGAUGCCUGAUUAGCUUGUUGGUAAGGUAAAAGCUUACCAAGGCUUCGAUCAGUAGCUGGUCUGAGAGGACGGCCAGCCACGCUGGGACUGAGACACGGCCCAGACUCCUACGGGAGGCAGCAGUGGGGAAUUUUGGACAAUGGGGGCAACCCUGAUCCAGCCAUGCCGCGUGAGUGAAGAAGGCCUUCGGGUUGUAAAGCUCUUUCAGCCGGAACGAAACGGUUACGGUUAAUACCCGUGACUACUGACGGUACCGGAAGAAGAAGCACCGGCUAACUACGUGCCAGCAGCCGCGGUAAUACGUAGGGUGCGAGCGUUAAUCGGAAUUACUGGGCGUAAAGCGUGCGCAGGUGGUUUUGUAAGUCAGAUGUGAAAGCCCCGGGCUCAACCUGGGAACU
rnacentral:rRNA from 1 species